CACAGUUAGGGUGAGAACUUGGUGGAGGCUAAGCUGAGAACCACCUGGGCCUACCUUCCCUGCCCUAUUGAAGUCUUCAAGAAGAAAGAAAACAACUUGAAGGGGAGCAGCUGAUAAUUACAACUUUUAAAUUUGAUCAGCCAAUGGUAGCUCACAAAGGAUAAGAAGAUGUCACCACCUGCUUCUGUGAGUGAGCCUGUCAAGUUGCUAGCUUAAGAAGUAAAAAUAUAUGUAUCUUACUAAAGUCCCAUAUUGGUAUUUUAUUAUGUCCUUGGCUUCAAAUACCCAUGCACUCAUUUAUUUGCACAGCCAACAUAUAUUUACAAAGCUUGCUAAGUGCUGGGUACCACUCUGGGAACACGUGAGCAAAUCACUAAGUCCCUGCCUCCUGGACUGCGUGCUCUGGGGACAACAGGGAGCAAGGGAGCUGUGAAACACAUCAGCCUGAAGCCUGGGAAAGUGACCUGGGGUGCAGGGGAGAAGGGCAGGAGAGGUAAUAGUUUCAAACAGCAUAUUCAGGGAAUGACCUGCUGACCACAGUAUGCCAGUCAUGACCUUAAGGAGCCAGAUGAUAAGCCCUGUGUUCCCAGGGAAAGAGUGCUCAGGCAGAGGGUGAGAGACAGGGGGAGCAUGCCUGAUGUCAGGACCACUGUGACGCAAGGCAGCCAGAGUGAUGGGGGAGGUGCUUGGGGGCACCCCCAGGAGAGGGGACCCAGGUGGAAAUGGGCUUUGAGGGCCUGACAAGCUCCUUGGCUUUCCCCCUGAAUGUACUGGCGAGACUUGGAGAGUUUUGAGCAAUGGAAUGACUGAUGUGCUUCAGUCCCUCCUGGGAUCUGUCAGUCAUUGAAAAUUGAUGGCAAGCCAGUGCAUAGGUCUCAACAGAGGUGCUGGGCUGUGCUGGGGGGAGCAGGUGGGCGUGAGGGGUGGCUGCCAAUGGGGACACUGUGAUUUAUUUGAGACCUUGCCAACCCUCCUACACAUUGGUCAGUAGAAUUGUUGUGUAGUAGCGGGGUAGCUGCAGCCUCAGAGAGGGUCUAACCCCCUGCUAAAGGUCAGGCUUUUUUAAAAAUAAAGAAUAAUUAUUAAGCAGAUGGUUUGCUUAUGAUCCAUCUUUAUAGCUGGCACCUCCACCCAGUGGUGUGAUCAUAAGAUUCCCCUUUCCCGUGGUGCCUGUCACUGUGGGGGUGGGGGUUGCCUCUGGUUUCAGGACAACUCUGCAUUUUCUGCUCUAGUGAUUACAUGAUCUGUGGUGUCUAGCAGGCUUGGGGGUGUCUAUUUUUUGCCCCAUGAUGUGAACGUUACACAUUAAUUCUUCUGAAUUCUUUUCUCUACAGGUCUUUGUACUUGUAAAUCAUAAUCAGCAUCCCAGAACUUUCCAGAAAAAGUGUUCUUCUCAGAUGGAGCUGGUCAGACCACCGAAUAUGGGCAUCUGAGGUGGCUGAGAAUUCACCCUCGGAAACAUGAGAGAAUCUGGGUUCAGCCCUCGUGGUGACAAGCCACCGCCCCACUAUCUUGGAGAAUGGAUUUUUUUCCUUCUGUGUAUGAGAGGAGGUUGAUGGAUUGUGUCUGUUGCAGAGGCCCAAGGAGAGAAAGGUGACUCGAGUCCCAAAAUAGCCCUUUUGAAUGCAUUAAGAGAGGGCCUCUCUGACACAGACAGGAAGCAGGGGAGAGGGGCAGGAACUGGUGACAGCCCACUCAGCGUGUUGGUCACCAGCAUUGAUUCACACUAAGUGAUCGUCCUCUGCUAAGAGCGACGCUGUCCUUUGCUUUUAUUUUAAAUUAUAAAACCUUUUAAAACUACACCAUUACCUGACGGUGAAAUUGAUUGUCCACCUUCUGUAUUUUAACAAUGAGCUUCUUGAGAGAUUCCUAUCCUCUCUCCAUCACCUCACUCCUGGUUGGGAUUUGGUGGGUCUUACAUUUGGCUCUGUUUGACCGUGUGGUGGCUGUACACUGAUUUCCCCAUGAAAAUAAGAACAUCAGUAUUGAAGUGAGACAAGGAAAAAGUUUCUUUUACAUUUGCUUUCAAUAGACAAAAUCUGAAAGAAACUCUAAUGGAAGAAACCAUCCCAUUCAUGACCUGUGCAUUACGCAGCUCACAUUAAACUCAGUCAGAGGUGUUCAGAAAGUGUAUUAAAAACUCUAUCACGGGGAGGGACGGGAGUGGGAAGAAAGACUGUCAUGAUAGCAUCAAGAUGCGAGUUGUCCCUGAAUUAACCUGCAAAUUUGGAGCAAUCUCAAUGAAUAGCUCACUGGGUUUCUUUUGUUUUCUUUGUGUAUCAUUGAUUUUGGAACAUGUCAACGAUAGGGAGGAAAAGUAGGAAGAGACUAUUGAGGGAGUCUCGAUAUGUUAAAGUGUAUUAUAAAAUGAUCCUAAUGAAACGCGUGAGCGUUGGCACAGAUGGCAAAGAUUAGAGCCACAGAGUAGAAUUGGGUCUAGAAAUAGACCUCACUCUAUGUGGAGAUUUUGUGUGAUAAAGUCAUCAGCUAAA
rnacentral:lncRNA from 1 species